rnacentral:sRNA from 1 species
GUAGGUAACCAGGCUCUGUAGCCGUGGCAGCGGCCGUGGCAGGCUGGCUGGGUACCGGCUGCCGCUGACCCGGGAGACGCUACAUCAACCGGGGUUGCAGCGCCCUGCCGCCGCGGGGCCGGCAGAGCAGAACUCCUCUAGGGAACCUGGAUGGGAAACAGCCAUGGCCAAGGACAUCCUGGGUGAAGCAGGGCUGCACUUUGAUGAACUGAACAAGCUGAGGGUGUUGGACCCAGAGGUUACCCAGCAGACCAUAGAGCUGAAGGAAGAGUGCAAAGACUUUGUGGACAGUGAGUAUUGGGGAGAUACAGUGCCACUCAGCUUUGAGCUGCCAUUCCAACUGUACCCCAGGCUCAUCUUGGCCCUGCCACAGUGGAGCUGCUGGCUCCCUGGAGGUUGAAUCUGGCAUCUGUGAGUUCCCACGUGCCACCCUUUUCUGUCUGCCCUCUUGUGCUCUCAUGUGUCCCCAACAGAGCACCAGUCAAACCAAACACUGGGAUGGGGAGGGGAGGGUGUUUUUUAGAUAUGCCAUCUUUCAUUUCUUGCU